AUCUAAAACUAAAAUCUAAAAUC
rnacentral:snRNA from 1 species